UAAUGAUGGUUCAGUGACUGUACUAACCAUCAAAUUAAUGGAAUAACAAUCGCAAAACAUGAAGAGUUUCUUUUAGGUUGAGCUCAUGUACUUCUAUUACUCUUUUUAAAUGGAGGUAAACUGAUUAGUUUCUCUUUAUCUUUCCUCUUCUCCCAGUACAACAUUGGAAGAUAUAUCAUAUAGCAAUUGUAGUAUCACUUUGUGGAGUUGUAGCUGCUCUCAUCAUUGUGUUACUAACCUGCUGUAUGAUCAGGAAGAAACUGCAGUCCAAGUCCUCCACAAACAAUUCUGAUAGCAUGAGUG